GCGACCUCAGGUCAGGCGGGGCUACCCGCUGAGUUUAAGCAUAU
rnacentral:rRNA from 1 species